rnacentral:rRNA from 1 species
AUUGAACGCUGGCGGCAGGCCUAACACAUGCAAGUCGAACGAGUGGCGGACGGGCUAGCAAUGUCUGGGACACUGCCUGAUGGAGGGGGAUAACUACUGGAAACGGUUGCUAAUACCGCAUACCAUCAGCUGUGUCCACAUGGGAUUAGCUUGUUGGUGGGGUAACGGCACACCAAGGCGACGAUCCCUAGCUGGUCUGAGAGGAUGACCAGCCACACUGGAACUGAGACACGGUCCAGACUCCUACGGGAGGCAGCAGUGGGGAAUAUUGGACAAUGGGCGAAAGCCUGAUGCAGCCAGGCCGCGUGUAUGAAGAAGGUUUUCGGAUUGUAAAGUACUUUCAGCGGGGAGGCGUUACCCGCAGAAGAAGCACCGGCUAACUCCGUGCCAGCAGCCGCGGUAAUAC